AAUGGGUCAGCGACUUAUAUUCUGUAGCAAGGUUAACCGAAUAGGGGAGCCGAAGGGAAACCGAGUCUUAACUGGGCGUUAAGUUGCAGGGUAUAGACCCGAAACCCGGUGAUCUAGCCAUGGGCAGGUUGAAGGUUGGGUAACACUAACUGGAGGACCGAACCGACUAAUGUUGAAAAAUUAGCGGAUGACUUGUGGCUGGGGGUGAAAGGCCAAUCAAACCGGGAGAUAGCUGGUUCUCCCCGAAAGCUAUUUAGGUAGCGCCUCGUGAAUUCAUCUCCGGGGGUAGAGCACUGUUUCGGCAAGGGGGUCAUCCCGACUUACCAACCCGAUGCAAACUGCGAAUACCGGAGAAUGUUAUCACGGGAGACACACGGCGGGUGCUAACGUCCGUCGUGAAGAGGGAAACAACCCAGACCGCCAGCUAAGGUCCCAAAGUCAUGGUUAAGUGGGAAACGAUGUGGGAAGGCCCAGACAGCCAGGAUGUUGGCUUAGAAGCAGCCAUCAUUUAAAGAAAGCGUAAUAGCUCACUGGUCGAGUCGGCCUGCGCGGAAGAUGUAACGGGGCUAAACCAUGCACCGAAGCUGCGGCAGCGACACUAUGUGUUGUUGGGUAGGGGAGCGUUCUGUAAGCCUGUGAAGGUGUGCUGUGAGGCAUGCUGGAGGUAUCAGAAGUGCGAAUGCUGACAUAAGUAAC
rnacentral:rRNA from 1 species